rnacentral:rRNA from 1 species
AGUGAACGCUGGCGGUAGGCCUAACACAUGCAAGUCGAACGGCAGCACAGUAAGAGCUUGCUCUUACGGGUGGCGAGUGGCGGACGGGUGAGGAAUACAUCGGAAUCUACUUUUUCGUGGGGGAUAACGUAGGGAAACUUACGCUAAUACCGCAUACGACCUACGGGUGAAAGCAGGGGAUCUUCGCACCUUGCGCGAUUGAAUGAGCCGAUGUCGGAUUAGCUAGUUGGCGGGGUAAAGGCCCACCAAGGCGACGAUCCGUAGCUGGUCUGAGAGGAUGAUCAGCGACACUGGAACUGAGACACGGUCCAGACUCCUACGGGAGGCAGCAGUGGGGAAUAUUGGACAAUGGGCGCAAGCCUGAUCCAGCCAUACCGCGUGGGUGAAGAAGGCCUUCGGGUUGUAAAGCCCUUUUGUUGGGAAAGAAAAGCAGCAGGUUAAUACCCCGCUGUUCUGACGGUACCCAAUGAAUAAGCACCGGCUAACUUCGUG